AAAGUAGGUUGUCUUAUCGCCGUGAAUUUGAUUCAAGGAGGAAAGUCCGAGCACUAUAGAACAGCAUAGCGGAUAACAUCCGUCAUUCUAAUUUAUUUUAGGAGAGGACAAGUGCAACAGAAAGCAAGUACAGUUCGGCUGUAGUGAAACCAGGUAAACUCUAUGCGGUGCAAUGUCAUGUAUAUUGGAGUCCUAUUUAUAGGUAAGAGUUGUUCGCUCAAUUCCAAGGGGUAGACAGAUAGAAGUUAUUGGCAACAGUAACCCUAGAUAAAUGAUAAGAAUCUUGAUCUUAUUUCAAGAUACAGAACUCGGCUUAUAGAUCUACUUUUUUC
rnacentral:RNase_P_RNA from 1 species